rnacentral:antisense_RNA from 2 species
GGCUAUGGCGGGCGGUGCGUGGGGGCCUUGUGCCCACCGGGCCUAGUCGCGUACCGGAUUUCGAGCCACGCAUCGUCCGCCACCUUU